rnacentral:rRNA from 1 species
CGCUAUCACUCCGUACGGGAGGCAGCAGUAGGGAAUCUUCCACAAUGGGCGCAAGCCUGAUGGAGCAACACCGCGUGAGUGAAGAAGGGUUUCGGCUCGUAAAGCUCUGUUGUUAAAGAAGAACACGUAUGAGAGUAACUGUUCAUACGUUGACGGUAUUUAACCAGAAAGUCACGGCUAACUACGUGCCAGCAGCCGCGGUAAUACGUAGGUGGCAAGCGUUAUCCGGAUUUAUUGGGCGUAAAGAGAGUGCAGGCGGUUUUCUAAGUCUGAUGUGAAAGCCUUCGGCUUAACCGGAGAAGUGCAUCGGAAACUGGAUAACUUGAGUGCAGAAGAGGGUAGUGGAACUCCAUGUGUAGCGGUGGAAUGCGUAGAUAUAUGGAAGAACACCAGUGGCGAAGGCGGCUACCUGGUCUGCAACUGACGCUGAGACUCGAAAGCAUGGGUAGCGAACAGGAUUAGAUACCCUGGUAG